CUCUCCUCCCAGUCAGAGACCAUUGCACUCCGGGACCAUGUUGGGUACCAUCAGUCCUGGGGGCCUGGCAUGGCUGAAACAAACUCGAUGAUAUUUUCAGUGCUGCAGUGCGGGACCUCAUUUCCCAGUAUGAGUGUGAAGAUUUCAAUCAGGAUGCAUGGGCGUCCUGUACCGGAGAGCUGAUAUUCCACAGGUUAUCUCCACUUAAGAUCCCAG